rnacentral:rRNA from 1 species
GACGACGCUGGCGGCGUGCCUAAUACAUGCAAGUCGAACGAGUGGCGGACGGGUGAGUAAUGUCUGGGAAACUGCCUGAUGGAGGGGGAUAACUACUGGAAACGGUAGCUAAUACCGCAUACCAUCGGAUGUGCCCAGAUGGGAUUAGCUAGUAGGUGGGGUAACGGCUCACCUAGGCGACGAUCCCUAGCUGGUCUGAGAGGAUGACCAGCCACACCGGAACUGAGACACGGUCCAGACUCCUACGGGAGGCAGCAGUGGGGAAUAUUGCACAAUGGGCGCAAGCCUGAUGCAGCCAUGCCGCGUGUAUGAAGAAGGCCUUCGGGUUGUAAAGUACUUUCAGCGGGGAGGCGUUACCCGCAGAAGAAGCACCGGCUAACUCCGUGCCAGCAGCCGCGGUAAUUC